rnacentral:lncRNA from 1 species
GCAGCUCUGGUCACCUUCGUCUUCGCCGGUCAGUUUCGGUCAGAGUCCGGUCAGCUCUAGCUUCACUUGCGUCGCUCUUCUUUUCUCUGCCCUAGCUCGAGGGUUCUUUUGCUUUUCUUCCUCUCGCUGGAACUUAGCUCGAGGAUGCUCUCUCUGCCAAAUGAGUUACUACUCAAAUGACCCCCAAAAGCUGCAGUCAGGCCAAAAUGCGGCGGCGUUUCAAUAAAACCAGCCUAUUCCAAC